rnacentral:tRNA from 2 species
GGGCCGUUAGCUCAGCUGGCAGAGCAUCUGCCUUUUAAGCAGAGGGUCACAGGUCCGAGUCCUGUACGGCUCACCA